UUAAAACCCAUAUACCUUCUUCUCUCUCUUAAACGACACACAACACACAACACAAACCCUAAAAUGGAACAAGAUGAAGCAGAGUAUGCGCCGCGGUCUCUUUCUAUCUCUCUCUCACUAUAAAUCGAAGUACAUUGUUUCAUCUUGUUCUAUUUUGUCGAACCAUACCUACAUCCCAAUGCACCCCACCGUUCAAAAGGUUCCCCCGCUGGGCGUUGAUGGUCCGACGUGGCAUGGAACCACGCCUCUUACCGCAGUGAUGACAAACAGUCUAAAGGGUUGGGCAUGUGUGCUUGAUGGUCCAAGUUGGAGUAUAUAGAGGUAACAAGGUUUCAAGUAUACAACAUGAUCAAAGACAAUCGAAGCUAGUCCCAAACGGCCCUUCCAGAUCUUCGUGCUCCCUCUUCGCUUCACGUUUCUCCCUUUCCUUCUCCCUUUCCUCCUCCGGCUCAUUAUCGGACUCCCAUCUAAGAUGGCACUCCUAUUGCUCCUCGUACCUGCAACAAAUGCCAAAAUCCGUUAAGCUUAAAUAAUUUAAUUAAUAUUGCACUCUUACAAAUUAUUCUACUCACCUUCUUGUAAAAAGUUCCAUAGCGAAAAGCUCAUCAAUUUCCUUGUGAUAAAAGAAGCCAUGCAAUGCACUCCUGAAAUAAAUACUAUGGUUAGGUCCUAACUAAGAAACAUGGAAUGCACACACAUAAUGUUUACCUUGCGGUAAGGGAUGAGACGAGGGGGUCGGUGUCAUGGUGGGAUCAUACACGUAGCCUUCAUAACGAUUGUCAGUAUACGGAGGAUGGCGUUCCUCGAGAAUCUUUUAAUUUCAGACCACAACUCCUUUCUCUUACUUUAACCAUCUUCCAAACACGUAUCCUGAAAACACUGAAAAACAUAAAUUCGUUAAAACAAAUAUACAUAAGAAAUUCAAGUAUUUCAAGCUGAAUCACAGUACCUACCUUCAAAACCUUCUUACCCAUGGCGUUUUUUAACCAAGUGCCAAACUGUUCCACUUCAGUGCUAUAGAUUGACUCAUAGGGCGCCUUGCUGAAAACAGGAUCAAUUCUUAGUAAGUAUGUGACAGACUAAACUCAAUCAAAAUGACACUUACUCUUCGGUGAGGACAUCAUGGCCUUUAAGCAUAAUUUCCAAAGCCAUUAUCACGAAACUCAGUUGAACUUGUCUGAAGUAGAAUUGAAAGAAAACGAAUAAACAUUGUCCAUGGAACAAAAUUAAAGAUGAAAGAAAAGAAAAGAUAGUGAUAAGCCAAACCUUCCAGCAGUCGUCAGGACCAAAUGUUUCUGGAGGAUUCUUGAGCCACUCAGAUAUCUGCUUCCAAAUCCAAAAUAGGAUAUAUUUAUACAUAUACAUAUACAUAUACAUAUAUAUAUAUAUAUAUAUAUAUAUAGAGGGUCAGGAUUUAGAGAAAACGGGAGAAAGUGUGAGAACAGUGAAAACGAUUAUGGAUCGUCAGGUCAAAACAAUCUAUGGACUAGAUGGUGUGGUGACAUUUUCGUAAAUAACAUAAACUUUUUAAAGUGGGCGUGUGGCAAAAAGGUAAAUGUUCAUCUAUAAAACGCAUCAAAGCGUGACCAAAACAUAUAUACUUCCCAGAGAAACUUCCCCAAAACCAACGUAAAAUGCGAAAACCCUAGAAAACGCGAAACAACAAGUACUAUGGCGCCGAAAGAUCAAACCAGAUCCAGAGGCAAAAAAAAUAUUUCUAUGAGUAUGGAAGGGGAAGGGUUAUCUGCUCCAAAAAGCCAAAAACCCAACGAGCAACGAAAGAAGACAACAAGAGAACAUGGCACAGAUUGUUACUUUUCAUGAUGUUGUAAAUACACUUUGAUACUUUGUUACCAAAACGCCAAAAAUUGUAUCGUUUGCUUAACAAUGUUAAAAUGUAUGAGAACGAAAUUUUACAUAUAUAAUUUGUGUUAUUAAACGCCAUGAAUCAUA